GGGAUGUGGCACAAGUGAUAGCGUGCUCGCCUGGCAUGCGUGCGGCCCGGGUUCAAUCCUCAGCCCCA
rnacentral:tRNA from 1 species